rnacentral:piRNA from 1 species
GAAAACAACACUGAAGUCUUGUAGAUAUGC